GUAUGGAAACCUACUAAGUGAUAACUUUCAAAUUCGAGAAACCCCGGAAUUAAUAAAAAUGGGCAAUCCUGAGCCAAAUCCUGUUUUCUCAAAACAAAGGUUCAGAAAGCGAAAAAGGGGAUAGGUGCAGAGACUCAAUGGAAGCUGUUCUAACAAACGGAGUUGACUGCAUUGGUAGAGGAAUCUUUCCAUCGAAACUUCAGAAAGGAUGAAGGAUAAACGUAUCUAUUGAAUACUAUAUCAAAUGAUUAAUAACGGCCCGAGUCUGUAUCAUUUUGUAUAUGAAAAAUGGAAGAAUUGGUGUGAAUUGAUUCCACAUUGAAGAAAGAAUCGAAUAUUCAUUCAUCAAAUCAUUCACUCCAUAGUCCGAUAGUUCUUUUAAAGAACUUAUUAAUCGGACGAGAAUAAAGAUAGAGUCCCGUUCUACAUGUCAAUACCGGCAACAAUGAAACUUAUAGUAAGAGGAAAAUCCGUCGACUUUAAAAUCGUGAGGGUUCAAGUCCCUCUAUCCCCAAAAAAGCCUAUUUGACUCCAAAAAUAUUUAUCCUAUCCCCUUUUUCAUUAGCAGUUCAAAAUUCCUUUAUCUUUCUAAUUGUUUUACAAAUGUAUUUGGGCGUAAAUGACUUUCUCUUAUCACAUGUGAUAUAGAAGACACAUCCAAGUUAAGCAAGGAAUCCCUAUUGGAAUGAUUCACAAUCAAUAGCAUUACUCAUACUGAAACUUACAAAGUCGUCUUUUUGAAGAUCCAAGAGAUUACAGGACUUGGAGAAAACUUUGUAAUCUUCCCUUGUCCCUUUAAUUGACAUAGACCCCAGUCACAUCAUAAAAUGAGGAUCGGAUGUUACAGUGGGAAUGGUCGGGAUAGCUCAGCU
rnacentral:misc_RNA from 1 species